AAGUUUGGAGGUGUGUAGUGAUGAACUCUGAAGCUACAUGAAGUUUGGAGGUGUGUAGUGAUGAACUCUGAAGCUACAUGAAGUUUGGAGGUGUGUAGUGAUGAUAAACUCUGAAGCUACAUGAAGUUUGGAGGUGUGUAGUGAUGAUGAACUCUGAAGCUACAUGAAGUUUGGAGGUGUGUAGUGAUGAACUCUGAAGCUACAUAAAGUUUGGAGGUGUGUAGUGAUGAUGAACUCUGAAGCUACAUGAAGUUUGGAGGUGUGUAGUGAUGAUGAACUCUGAAGCUACAUGAAGUUUGGAGGUGUGUAGUGAUGAUGAACUCUGAAGCUACAUGAAGUCUGAAGGUGUGUAGUGAUGAUGAACUCUGAAGCUACAUGAAGUUUGGAGGUGUGUAGUGAUGAUGAACUCUGAAGCUACAUGAAGUUUGGAGGUGUGUAGUGAUGAUGAACUCUGAAGCUACAUGAAGUCUGAAGGUGUGUAGUGAUGAUGAACUCUGAAGCUACAUGAAGUUUGGAGGUGUGUAGUGAUGAUGAACUCUGAAGCUACAUGAAGUUUGGAGGUGUGUAGUGAUGAUGAACUCUGAAGCUACAUGAAGUUUGGAGGUGUGUAGUGAUGAUGAACUCUGGAGCUACAUAAAGUUUGGAGGUGUGUAGUGAUGU